rnacentral:miRNA from 1 species
AGCGGUGCUCCUGCGGGCCGA